rnacentral:rRNA from 1 species
UACGUAGGGGGCAAGCGUUGUCCGGAUUUAUUGGGCGUAAAGCGUCCGCAGGUGGCUGUGUAAGUCUGCUGUUAAAGAGUGAGGCUCAACCUCAUAAAGGCAGUGGAAACUACAUGGCUAGAGUGCGUUCGGGGCAGAGGGAAUUCCUGGUGUAGCGGUGAAAUGCGUAGAGAUCAGGAAGAACACCGGUGGCGAAAGCGCUCUGCUAGGCCGCAACUGACACUGAGGGACGAAAGCUAGGGGAGCGAAUGGG